UACAGAGGGGGCAAGCGUUGUUCGGAAUUACUGGGCGUAAAGCGCGCGUAGGCGGUUUGGUAAGUCGGAUGUGAAAUCCCGAGGCUCAACCUCGGGACUGCACCCGAUACUGCCCGACUAGAGGUAGGUAGGGGAGAUCGGAAUUCCUGGUGUAGCGGUGAAAUGCGCAGAUAUCAGGAGGAACACCGGUGGCGAAGGCGGAUCUCUGGGCCUUACCUGACGCUGAGGCGCGAAAGCUAGGGGAGCAAACAGG
rnacentral:rRNA from 1 species